rnacentral:tRNA from 1 species
AAAGAGGUAUUAUAUUUAAAUAUAUUUUAUUUACAAUAAAAAGAAAAAAACUUUCUCUUAUGUGUUUUA